CGCUGAAUUUAAGCAUAUCACUAAGCGGAGGAAAAGAAACUAACAAGGAUUCCCUUAGUAACGGCGAGUGAACAGGGAUUAGCCCAGCACCGAAGCCUGUGGCCAUUUGGCUACUAGGCAAUGUGGUGUUCAGGUCAUUCCGCGGAGAUGCUGCUCCACUCCAAGUCCAUUCAUGAGUACGGUAUUUCAGACUUGGCCCAUAGAGGGUGAAAGGCCCGUGGGAGUGGGGUUUCAGGCAUGUCAGUGUCUCUCUGGAUAGACCUUGGAGUCGGGUUGUUUGUGAAUGCAGCCCAAAGCGGGUGGUAAACUCCAUCCAAGGCUAAAUACAUACACGAGUCCGAUAGCGAACAAGUACCGUGAGGGAAAGUUGAAAAGUACUUUGAAGAGAGAGUAAACAGUGCGUGAAACCGCUCAGAGGUAAACGGGUGGAGUUGAACUGCGAACUCAGAGAAUUCAGCUGGUGAGAAUGGUUUGAGCUUGGUCAAACAGGUUGGUGUCUUGGGGUCUGCCGAGAUGCAGGUCUCUGCCUUCGGGUGGGGAUGCGCGAUGCACUUAUCAAGUGUUGUGCGCCUCAGUGGCAUGUCGAGCCUACUUGCCGGUGCAUUUUCUCUGGGUGUUCACCACGACCGGCACUGCUGUCUGGCUGUUAUGGUUAAACCGUCUUUGCUUUGUCCUUGUGGCUUUGCUUGGUCGGGAUGGCAGGUAGCCUGUUAGCCUUGUCUUCGGACUUGGUUUUCGGGUGUAAUCAGCUGACUGUAAUGGUUCUGUGCAGUGUGUCGGAGACGGCGGCUUGUGGUGUGGGCAUGCGUGCUUGUCUGCUGACUUGGUUGGGUUUGGUUGUCAUGUUGCUUGUUCUGCAAGCCUGGCGAUGGCCUGACUAUGCUUGGUGGGCGGUGGCGUGUGUGACACUGUUUCCAGGGCCUAUAGUCUGUGGUGUUGUGGUAGACUUUCCACCUGACCCGUCUUGAAACACGGACCAAGGAGAGUAACAUGUGUGCGAGUCAUUGGGCGUAACGAAACCCACAGGCGCAGUGAAAGUAAAGGUUUGGCUCAGCCAGACUAAGGUGAGAUCCUGUUGUAUCCUACGCGCGGUUCUACCAAGCACUCGAGCAGCAGGCGCAUCACCGGCCCGUCCCAUGUUGUAGACGCAUAGCUUCGUGCCAGCGCACCAACGGGGCGGAGCAUGAGCAUACAUGUUGAGACCCGAAAGAUGGUGAACUAUGCUUGCGCAGGUUGAAGCCAGAGGAAACUCUGGUGGAGGACCGUAGCGAUUCUGACGUGCAAAUCGAUCGUCAAACGUGAGUAUAGGGGCGAAAGACUAAUCGAACCAUCUAGUAGCUGGUUCCCUCCGAAGUUUCCCUCCAGGAUAGCA
rnacentral:rRNA from 1 species